CCACACAUCCCAUUCUCAAUCAAACCAACACCCCACAUCCUCCAAUCUCCCAUCACUCCUCCACAAUUCCAUGUAUGAAGUGCAUAUUCUUGAACUGUAACUUCAACAGAAACAAAAAUAGUAGCACAUUUUAGAUUUUUCAUUACCUUGGAAAAGCUGGCAAGUAUGUUUCUCCUGAAUAAAAACU